rnacentral:snRNA from 1 species
UUGCUCUUUUACAGCCUUG